CUCUGAGGGUGGAGGUGAGCCUCGAUGUGCCUGUCAGCCUGUGGCGCUCCUUCCCCAGUGACUCAGCAAACCAGAGUGGCGGCCCAAGCGUCUGGGGUGCCGGGGAGGUCUGGCCCCAGCUGACGGCUCCGGUGGAGCGGGGACGAUACAUGACAAGAUUUAUUCAGCUCCAGGCUUAGCGAGUGACCCUCGAUCUCCCACCCAAAUUAACCCACGCACAGUGAGACAGAGAGCCCGGCUCUGCGGGGGGAGCUCGUCAGGGGUCAUUUCCAGGCCUCCUCCCUGCGGCGUGUUUCCAGGGGCCUGGAGUGGGUCUGGGUUCCCCGGGGGGGGGGGGGGAGGGUUCAGCGAGCAGGAGCAGCUGCUGGCAUCUCCGGGGGGUGGCAGGUGAGGCGGUCAGGGAGGCCCCAGGGAGCCUCUUGGUCGUCAGCACAGACGGAACUUGCACAGAAUAACGUUUCCCUAUUCUGAGUCUCUGGAACGUUCCUCCCCUGCCCCCACCCCCCAUGGAGCCUGUGCAGGCAGCACCCCGACUUCCUCCCUGAGGCCUCAGGGAUGCGAAUGGAAACUGUGCAAUACUAGGCAGUCAGCUGAACCCUGGCCCCCAGGCCCAAGCCCCAUGCCUGCGGGUUCCCGCACCCACUGCCGGCCUCCUCCAACACCUGUGCCUGCUCCUCUGCGCCCACCCCAUCGCCCCCACCCACACUGCUGGGGCGGGUCCCUCCCUGCCACCCUGGCCCUGGCUUGGUCCUGCCUCCCUGACUGCUCAGGUGGGCACCCCCCAGGGACGUGGCUCUGCACCUCGGCUUCCAGCUUCCCCAGAGCGAUGGCUCUUGCCUAUGAACUCAGCCCCUUCCUGGCCACAGAAGGGGGCCUGCAGCCCUGCCUGUGUGCGGCCCGCGUGCACGGUGGGCUGCUUGGGAGAAACAUCCGGGAAGGGAGCCAAGGGACCCCUUGCUGAAAAUGGGGAAAUGCGCAGGUCCUGUUGAAAAAUCUUUGCUGAGCCCAUGUCAUGAAUACAUUCUUCAGUUACCUUCUGGAAGCUGUAUCGUUUUAGACAUAGACCAAUAAUCCACGAGAUGCCACCACAAACCACCAAAAUGUCUGAAAUUAAAGACCGCCAACACCAAGGGUUGAAUUUAGGAGACAAAUCAGUGAAGAACCUUCCUCAGCGCAGCCCUAGCGUGUCCCGCUAAGUGCCAGCACAUGGGGUCUUCACGACGUUCCCGCAAACAGGCGUCACCGCCCCACGUUUGACAGGACACGAGACACACCUUGCACGCAGCCGCAGAGCAAAGGCGGCAGAGCUGGGGUUCACACCUGGCACGCUGGGCCACUCACUGCCACACAGCCCCUCCCGCCGGCUGGCGCCAGACCCUGCUGCCUCGUGCGGUCACCUAAGGCGGGGUGAGGCACGGCGGGAGGCAACGGGAAGAUUCUCCCUUGUGAGAAAAUCGACUCUGAGACGGUCGACUCUUCUCUAGUAACGAGGCAGAUGCAGAGCAGGGACCUGGAUGGUACCGAAUCCUGUCCACCUCGGGCUUCACUUAAUCCUCAGUGCCCGAGGAACAUCCAGGGCCCUCGGCGAACUGGCCAGUGUCCUGCCUUGGGACAGGCUCCCCGGCCACUGGGGACUGUGCCAGGCCAGGAGCCUUGCCCACGCAACUUCACGAUGAUUCUGAAAUGCAAUUAUUUACAGGUUUGUAAUUGGUAUCUGGAACGUUUGUUCAGACAGCCCUAAAUAUAGUAUGUUACUCUCUCUGCUUUGCGAGGCAACACAAGUUCGAGCCAAAGGUUCCCUCCAGUCAAAUUCAAGCGGAUGCUUCGCUGGCACCAGACGCACUGCUUUCGAAGCAAAAGACCAAGAACACAAUUCUUGGCAGCUCUAGAGCUGGACUCGGUCUCAUCAUCUAAAGAAAAACCUUCAGGUCCCUGCAAGGAAACAGCCACCCCAACAAGUUAAUCCUUAAGGAACAAAAGGACCCUCAGAAGAAAAGCAAUUUAUUCUAAGACACGGAAAGCUGAUCAGAUUUUGCACCCCAUUCGAAGGUAUCUUCGACAUUUUUAAGGAGACACAAGUCAAGAUUAUGGGGAUAAAAAUAUUCAAGUUACCCCCUGGACUCUAAAGCAUAUGCAAAUGAAGUCGGAGCGCUCUAACUGCCCACCUGAGAGUUGCCGAGGGGACACAAACCAUCAUUUGCUGCCAGGCCUUGUCGGUAUCGAAGGGAAAAAAAUCCCACGUUUAAGAGGCACCGAGUUGAUGGAAAGCCUCAAGAAAUGUCAACUAGUCAAACGGAAGUCUAUCUUUAGACUGCGCUCUCUUCGCUAACGUGGGUAAAAAUGCCCGCAGGGUACAAAGAAUGAUUCCCCUGGCUCUUCUUCUAGCGUCUGCCUACCAUGAUGUCAUAAAGUAGCUACUGUGUCAAGAUAUGUACAAUACCAAAGAGGGGCAGUUACGGAAGCAUUUUUCUUUCGUAGCUGAGAAUCAUCAUAUGCAGAAACAACAGGUUUUCAAGUAUAUCAGAAAGAUAAGCUGUACAACCAAAGCUAAUUACACAAGGACUUUUUACACCAAGGAGGCUUAAAAACACCAGAUUCCCAGAAAACAGACCUGAAGAUUUAAAUUGCGGGGCCCCUGGGGCGGCUCAGUUGGUUGGUUCAGCGGCCGACUUCGGCUCA